GUAGGCUAUGGGGACAUGAGGCCUGUCACUGUAGGGGGCAAGAUCGUGGGCUCGCUGUGUGCCAUCGCUGGGGUCCUCACCAUCGCCCUGCCUGUGCCGGUCAUUGUCUCCAAC
rfam:Felis catus isolate Cinnamon breed Abyssinian chromosome B4, whole genome shotgun sequence.